rnacentral:lncRNA from 1 species
CGGCAAGCUUGGGACAUGCACCUGCACGCACGUCCAAUCAGUACAGGGUGCGAGGUGCGCAGUUUGUGCGUGUGGCGCUCGGGCAACGGGCAUUGCCCCUUGGGCGGCAUGUACCGCUGUCAUUUGGGCGACAUGUACCGCUGUCGUUUGGGCGGUGUGCCUUCAGUUUUUACACCGUCUUGCACCAUUGUCAUCUCGUCAGUCGUCAGUCAGUUACAUCCAUC